rnacentral:rRNA from 1 species
UUUAAUUCGAAGCAACGCGCAGAACCUUACCAGCCUUUGACAUGGCGGGACGGGCGAGAGAGAUUUCGUCCUUCACUUCGGUGACCCGCGCACAGGUGCUGCAUGGCUGUCGUCAGCUCGUGUCGUGAGAUGUUGGGUUAAGUCCCGCAAUGAGCGCAACCCACGUCCUCAGUUGCCAUCAUUCAGUUGGGCACUCUGGGGAGACUGCCGGUGAUAAGCCGCGAGGAAGGUGUGGAUGACGUCAAGUCCUCAUGGCCCUUACGGGCUGGGCUACACACGUGCUACAAUGGCGGUGACAGAGGGAAGCCAACCCGCGAGGGUGCGCCAAUCUCGAAAAGCCGUCUCAGUUCGGAUUGCACUCUGCAACUCGAGUGCAUGAAGUUGGAAUCGCUAGUAAUCGUGGAUCAGCACGCCA